rnacentral:rRNA from 1 species
UACGUAGGCAGCGAGCGUUGUUCGGAGUUACUGGGCGUAAAGCGUGCGUAGGCGGUGUCCUAAGUCUGUUGUGAAAUCCCCCGGCUUAACCGGGAGGGUGCGGCGGAAACUGGGGUGCUGGAGUGCGGGAGAGGUAAGCGGAAUUCCCGGUGUAGCGGUGAAACGCGUAGAUAUCGGGAGGAACACCUGCGGUGUAGACGGCUUACUGGACCGUAACUGACGCUGAGGCACGAAAGCGUGGGGAGCAAACAGG